UACAGAGGUCUCAAGCGUUGUUCGGAUUCAUUGGGCGUAAAGGGUGUGUAGGUGGCGCCGUAAGUCGGGUGUGAAAUUUCGGAGCUUAACUCCGAAACUGCAUUCGAUACUGCGGUGCUUGAGGACUGGAGAGGAGACUGGAAUUCAUGGUGUAGCAGUGAAAUGCGUAGAGAUCAUGAGGAAGACCAGUGGCGAAGGCGGGUCUCUGGACAGAUACUGACACUCAACUACGAAAGCGUGGGGAGCAAACAGG
rnacentral:rRNA from 1 species